UCGGGAAUUUUGGGCAAUGGGCGCAAGCCUGAUCCAGCCAUACCGCGUGGGUGAAGAAGGCCUUCGGGUUGUAAAGCCCUUUUGUUGGGAAAGAAAUCCAGCUGGCUAAUACCCGGUUGGGAUGACGGUACCCAAAGAAUAAGCACCGGCUAACUUCGUGCCAGCAGCCGCGGUAAUACGAAGGGUGCAAGCGUUACUCGGAAUUACUGGGCGUAAAGCGUGCGUAGGUGGUCGUUUAAGUCCGUUGUGAAAGCCCUGGGCUCAACCUGGGAACUGCAGUGGAUACUGGACGACUAGAGUGUGGUAGAGGGUAGCGGAAUUCCUGGUGUAGCAGUGAAAUGCGUAGAGAUCAGGAGGAACAUCCAUGGCGAAGGCAGCUACCUGGACCAACACUGACACUGAGGCACGAAAGCGUGGGGAGCAAACAGGAUUAGAUACCCAAGUAGUCCCUGAGCGGGCUGGCAAGGCGCAU
rnacentral:rRNA from 1 species